CCUACGGGAGGCAGCAGUGAGGAAUAUUGGUCAAUGGGCGAGAGCCUGAACCAGCCAAGUCGCGUGAAGGAUGACGGCCCUACGGGUUGUAAACUUCUUUUGUCAGGGAGCAAUUGGGUCCACGCGUGGGCUUAGCGAGAGUACCUGAAGAAAAAGCAUCGGCUAACCCCGUGCCAGCAGCCGCGGUAAUACGGAGGAUGCGGGCGUUAUCCGGAUUUAUGGGGUUUAAAGGGUGCGUAGGCGGAAUAUCAAGUCAGCGGUAAAAAUUCGGGGCUCAACCCCGUCGUGCCGUUGAAACUGAUGUUCUUGAGUGGGCGAGAAGUAUGCGGAAUGCGUGGUGUAGCGGUGAAAUGCAUAGAUAUCACGCAGAACUCCGAUUGCGAAGGCAGCAUACCGGCGCCCAACUGACGCUGAAGCACGAAAGCGUGGGUAUCGAACAGGAUUAGAUACCCCAGUAGUC
rnacentral:rRNA from 1 species